AGGACAGCAGGCAGCAGGUG
rnacentral:misc_RNA from 1 species